rnacentral:rRNA from 1 species
UAGGGAAUAUUGGGCAAUGGACGGAAGUCUGACCCAGCCAUGCCGCGUGAAGGAUGACGGCGCUCAGCGUUGUAAACUUCUUUUAUCAGGGAAGAACUAUUAGAGCGCGCUUUAAUUUGACGGUACCUGAGGAAUAAGCACCGGCUAACUCCGUGCCAGCAGCCGCGGUAAUACGGAGGGUGCAAGCGUUGUCCGGAUUUAUUGGGUUUAAAGGGUGCGUAGGUGGGCUAUCAAGUCUGAUUUGAAAGCGAGUCGCUCAACGAUUCGAUGUGGUUGGAAACUGGUGGUCUUGAAUGGGGUAGCGGUAGCCGGAAUGGGUCAUGUAGCGGUGAAAUGCAUAGAUAUGACCCGGAACACCGAUUGCGAAGGCAGGCUACUGGGCCUUUAUUGACACUGAGGCACGAGAGCAUGGGUAGCGAACA